rnacentral:rRNA from 1 species
GAGCAAUAACAGGUCUGUGAUGCCCUUAGAUGUCCAGGGCUGCACGCGCGCUACACUGGAGGAAUCAGCGUGCUUUAACCAUCUCCGAAAGGAGCUGGUAACCCCUUGAAAAUCCUCCGUGAUCGGGAUCGGGGAUUGCAAUUAUUCCCCUUGAACGAGGAAUUCCUAGUAAGUGUGAGUCAUCAGCUCACGUUGAUUACGUCCCUGCCCUUUGUACACACCGCCCGUCGCUGCCCGGGACUGAGCCGUUUCGAGAAAAGCGGGGACUGCUGUUUCGAUACCCUUCGGGGUGGAGAUUCUUUGGUGGGAACCGCCUUUAUCGCAGUGGCUUGAACCGGGCAAAAGUCGUAACAAGGUUUCCGUAGGUGAACCUGCGGAAGGAUCAUUAUCGAGCUUCUAAAAAGCCUCAUACUGUGCAUACGCACCAUUUGCACACAUGUGAGCCGCGUAGUGUAUUGCAUUUAAAUGUCGCUUGCUGCAUUUGGCUUGCAAUGGCUAGCAAUACACGUUUUCGCGAUUGUGCACCUGGGUGGUAUCGUUGGCAAAUUGGCAUACCGCUAGCGCCCAGGUACACGUAACCUGUAACAACGGUGUCACGGUUGGCGUCUAAGCCACAUUGAGUUACCGCCCGACCGUCGGUAGCGAUGAAAAAUGUGGAGAGCAGUUCCUUGUGAGCAGAAGCACACUUUGCUCGAGCAUCAUCACAAGUUGAGCAGACUUAAUAAGCGUCCAGCGAGUGCGCUGCCAACAAAGCUUUUUUCUAUACCAAAUGUGUUAUUGUGUUGAAUGAGAAGCAGAUUUUUGAAAUUUCUUCAAUUAUCUGCGAAUAAAAAUACAAUCACUCUUAGCGGUGGAUCACUCGGCUCGUGAGUCGAUGAAGAACGCAGCUAGCUGCGAUAACUAGUGCGAAUUGCAGACACAUUGAGCACUAAGACUUCGAACGCACAUUGCGCCACCGGGUUCAUUCCCGAUGGCACGUCUGGCUGAGGGUCGAAUUUGUAACUGCUUGUUCCAGCAUUGCUGCUGUGUGGCACAAUGUUUUGGGCAAAAGUGUGGUGUGCGAUGAGAACCAAAUUCGCAGCUUCACAAAAGUGUUGACGUUGGACUGCUUGAUGGUGUCCACCACUGUGGUUUUUGUUGCCAUUGGUGUUCAAACAUCGAGCACUCUAACUAGAGUUGAUCGUUUACUUUGUUGUGCUUCAUCCCCUUCAUCGCCAUGCAAGUCGGCGAAAAGGGUUCACAAUUCUUGCACACAGCAUUUGUGCGCAGUUGAGAUGCAGCUCCCAACAUUUAUGCAACUCUAAACAAACUUAGGUUUGCGUUGGGAGUGCUCAGCUAAUAUGCAUGCAUCUCUCUUGCUUCCUUUUUCCGUUCGAGAGUGGAAGCUGCUGGGCAUAUUUCACUUGUGUGUUUGUGUGCAAGAGUAGUACUAUAUUUUGACCUCAGCUCAGUCGUGAUUACCCGCUGAAUUUAAGCAUAUAACUAAGCGGAGGAAAAGAAACUAACGAGGACUCCCCCAGUAACGGCGAGUGAACGGGGAAAAGCCCAGCGCUGAAUCCAUUAGUCACUGGCUAUAUGGAAUUGUAGCGUAUAGGUGUAACUAUUCGGUUGUUUCGUUCACCCAAAGUCCCCUUGAGCGGGGCUAUAGUCCAAAGAAGGUGCUAGACCUGUACGGGUGAUGAAGCAAUCGAUGGGUUACUCCUUGGAGUCGGGUUGCCUGAGAUCGCAGCCCAAAGAGGGUGGUAAACCUCAUCUAAGGCUACAUAUGAUCACGAGACCGAUAGCAAACAAGUACCGUGAGGGAAAGUUGCAAAGAACUUUGAAGAGAGAGUUCAAGAGGGCGUGAAACCGCUGAGAAGGAAACGGAUAGAGUUAACGAAAUUUGGCGGCACUCAGCCGGUUGGCUUAGCGGCGUCGCGGUUUCGAGCCUCGAUGAGGGCGAGAACGUGACUAGCUGUUGAGUGCAUGAGACUGGUGUAUUGUCCGUCGGUAUGCGCCGAGAAUUUUGCUGUCGUGCGCUAAUGCUCUUUGAAGAGGACCACACCUUACGGGUGUGGAACCCUGCAUGAGUUGAGGCGUAUCGGUAGUAAAAGCUGUGUGUGCUAUCUCCGCUGUAGUGCAACGGUUGACAUGUGGCUAGUGUGGCUAUUGGGCGGUCGCAUGCGACUUGCUUAUGGUCAUUGCUGGUUCAUGGCAGUGCAGUUGCGCUGAGAUUAGCCUCUCGGUGUGAAAGUUGACCACCUAUCCGACCCGUCUUGAAACACGGACCAAGGAGUCUAGCAUAUGCGCGAGUCAUUGGGUGGUAAACCUAAAGGCGUAAUGAAAGUAAAGGUUGUCUUGAUACGACUGAUAUGGGAUCCGAAUGCUUUCAUGCAUCACGGCGCACCAUAGCCCCGUCCCCGUUGCUUGCAAUAGGGCGGAGGAAGAGCGCAUACGCUGGGACCCGAAAGAUGGUGAACUAUGCCUGAGCAGGAUGAAGCCAGAGGAAACUCUGGU